rfam:Thermincola sp. JR, complete genome.
UGCAAAUUAAUGAAAAUUUGCUAAACACGCGCCAAUAAAGGUAUUUUUCGGUUUCUAUAUUGACACAUUUUAGCGCUUGUGUUAUCAUUAAGCAAGUGAGUUUGCCUAAGGCUCGCGGUAAGAAAUAUUUAGGGGGAAUGUAAAGUAUGUUAGGUAAAGUUAAGUGGUUCAACCAGGAGAAAGGAUUCGGCUUCAUUGAAAGAGAAGACGGUGGCGAUGUAUUCGUUCACUUCUCUGCUAUUCAAGAAGAAGGAUUCAAGACCUUGGCUGAAGGACAGGAAGUCGAAUUUGAAAUUGUGGAAGGUGCUCGUGGGCCUCAAGCGGCAAACGUAGUUAAGUUGUAAUUUCAAAUGACAAUUUCUAACCCCAGGUAGCUCCCUGGGGUUUUUAA